GUGCCAGCCGCUGCGGUAAUACGAAGGGGGCUAGCGUUGUUCGGAAUUACUGGGCGUAAAGCGCACGUAGGCGGGUAUUUAAGUCAGGGGUGAAAUCCCGGAGCUCAACUCCGGAACUGCCUUUGAUACUGGGUACCUGGAGUGUGGAAGAGGUGAGUGGAAUUCCGAGUGUAGAGGUGAAAUUCGUAGAUAUUCGGAGGAACACCAGUGGCGAAGGCGGCUCACUGGUCCAUUACUGACGCUGAGGUGCGAAAGCGGUGGGAGCAAACAGGAUUAAGAUACCCUGGUAGUCCACGCCGUAAACGAUGAAUGUU
rnacentral:rRNA from 1 species